rnacentral:pre_miRNA from 1 species
AUGUAGAGCAAUCUCUGUCUUAAGUAGGGGUAAAUUACUCAAAAAAAAAAAAAAAAAAAAAAAUCCUAGAUAGUUUUCCCUUCAAGUAAAGCGUCUUGU